rfam:Schistosoma rodhaini strain Burundi genome assembly, scaffold: SROB_scaffold0007433
AGCUUUCUGAAUCUAUGCAGAGAUUUAAUCACCAAACCAUUAGGGCUGAUCAGACUUCCAAGAUAAGUGAAGAU